UACGGAGGGUGCGAGCGUUAUCCGGAAUUACUGGGUUUAAAGGGUGCGUAGGUGGGCCUGUAAGUCAGUGGUGAAAUCUCCGGGCUUAACCCGGAAACUGCCAUUGAUACUAUAGGUCUUGAAUUUUCUGGAGGUCAGCGGAAUAUGUCAUGUAGCGGUGAAAUGCUUAGAUAUGACAUAGAACACCAAUUGCGAAGGCAGCUGGCUACAGGAACAUUGACACUGAGGCACGAAAGCGUGGGGAUCAAACAGG
rnacentral:rRNA from 1 species